rnacentral:rRNA from 1 species
UGGCAAUCAUAGCGGAGGAAAAGAAACCAACAGGGAUUGCCUUAGUAGCGGCGAGUGAAGCGGCAAGAGCUCAAAUUUGAAAUCUGGUACCUUCGGUGCCCGAGUUGUAAUUUGAAGAAAGCUAUCUUGGAGGUGGCCUUUGUCUAUGUUCCUUGGAACAGGACGUCAUGGAGGGUGAGAAUCCCGUGUGAUGAGGUGUCCAUUUCCGUGUAAGAUGCUUUCGAAGAGUCGAGUUGUUUGGGAAUGCAGCUCAAAGUGGGUGGUAAAUUCCAUCUAAAGCUAAAUAUUGGCGAGAGACCGAUAGCGAACAAGUACUGUGAAGGAAAGAUGAAAAGAACUUUGAAAAGAGAGUGAAAAAGUACGUGAAAUUGUUGAAAGGGAAGGGUAUUUGAUCAGACUUGGUAUUUAGCUAUCAUCGCUCCUUGUGGGUGGUGCUCUAGCUUUUUACUGGGCCAGCAUCAGUUUUGGUGGCAAGAUAAUGACAGUUGAAUGUGGCUCCUCGGAGUGUUAUAGCUUCUGUUGAUGUUGCCUACCGAGACUGAGGUCUGCGGCUUUUGCCUAGGAUGCUGGCGUAAUGAUCCAAUACCGCCCGUCUUGAACGGGCCA